UACAUGGUGGUGUAAGGCACAAAAAAUUUUGAUUUUUUAGGUUUAGGUAAAAGUCCUUUCCAUGUAU
rnacentral:tRNA from 1 species